GCCCCGGUAGUCCAACCUGGUAGAGGCACUGCGCUCAGAACGCAGGUGUUGCUGGUUCGAAUCCAGCUCGGGGCACCA
rnacentral:tRNA from 1 species